UUCUUGCAUGCUGAGCAAAAAUAGAGAUUUGUGAAACUUGGAAAAUUUCAAGCUUUCAAGAGAACAAGGUUCUUCUUCUUACUUUCUUUGGUAAGUGGCUUUGGUUAAUCUCUACCUUUCACCUUUCUUUUAUGAGUUAAAAAAUUUGUGUUAUAUGAUAUGCUAAUGAUGCUUUCUUGUAUGAACUUUUAUCCAGGUUGAUGUUUCCUACCAAUAUGGGUAUGUUUCUUAAACACUCUCUAAGAAAUUUUAACUAGAAAUUAUGUUUGAAUGAAAAUCAUAUAUACAUUUUUUCCUUAAUUUUUAUUUUCAUUUAGCAAGGAUUUUUUUAAAUUUGUUCUUCAAACUUGUGGUUUUUUCUUUUAUUUUUCUCCUAAUUUAUCUGUAAGUUCAAUGAUUAUUUUUAAUUGCAUUUCAUUUUUCUUUCCAUCUUUUCACUUUAAAACUUUUUAUUAUUUUUAAGAAAUGUUGUUGUCGGAGAUCCUCGGAGAUCCCACUUUUGUAUAAGUGGAGCGUAAAUCUUUCUUUACAAAUCGAUUUCUUGAUGUUAAAUUAGGUUUAAAAUUCAUUUUCAUCGACGUCUAUCUUAUAGUGAAUUAAUCGAAUCUAUAAUCUCAAUUACUAUUGAACACUCCUCUAUUCUCACACUUGAGAUGUCUAAUCUUCAACGUAGCGUGAUAUAUCUAACGAGAUCGUCGCUGUAAUUGGGAUUUCAGGAGAAAGAUAUCAAAUAUUUGAAGUUCCUUUUUUGUAUAUUAUAUGGAUGAUGAUUUUGUCCGUAAGGACCAUUAUUGAGAAUCUUUUUGAAUGAAAAUCAUAUAUACAUUUUUUUCUUAAUUUUUAUCUCCAUUUUCCAAG
rnacentral:lncRNA from 1 species